CAAUCUGGUCACUUCCCCACCGCCCCCUCGCAUCUCCUUGCUGUUCCCCAUUCUCCCAUGGUCGCCCCUGCUCCUCCUCCCCUUAAUGUCAAAUCCGGCCGCGGAACUGGCCGUCGGAGGCGUGGGAAUCGCACACCCCUGCUCUUCCCUGCUCCUUCAUCGAAUCCGGUCGCCGAAGUGACCGAGACGGUGCUCAAGCUCGACAUGCUCGCCCGGACGCCGAGGCUCCUCCCUCCUCCUGAUUUAGUAAACAUCACCGCCGCCGCCAUGAGCCUCUCCACCCUCUCCCGCGCUCGUCCCAGUUCCAGGUUACUCUAUCUCUCCGACCCCACCGCCUGCUCCUCCCCGUUAAUUUGGUUCGUCAACAGGUGCAUCACCUCACUCCGUGCAAUGUUCGGAUCCCUAGGGUUAUCUGCUCGGGGGCCAUGGCGUGUUCCGCGCGGUGCUGCCUUCGCCGCCGCCGCCGCCCGGCGGUGAGGGCGCUGGCUUGUGUCUCGUGGGUCGCUGCCUGACUUCCAGUCUGGGGAGACGGGCUUCAUUGGCCAAUAAAUAGGGACGGGAAGGUCCGAGACUGGAGGUCCCUGCUCGCAAACUCGCAAUCCCGGCAGCUAUUCUACUACCAAUCGAAAAAGAUUUCAUGAAGGAGAAGAAGAAGGCGCCGAAAGGGAAUGGGAGCAACAAGUCUGAAUGGACGGUGAGAUUCAAAUUUGGAGCAAUACAUCUUGCCCAGUUUCACCUGUGGAAACCCUCUUUUAAGGUCAAGAUCCCUACAAAGAUCAAAAUGAUAGAAGGUCCGGUGUGCUGGCGCUAAUGCAGAGCGUGGCGCAGAUGGGCUGGGUCCUCGGCCCAUCGUCCUCAUUGCCUGCGCCUACAUCACCUACUACAUCGUUGUCCUCAUCUCCGACUACUACCGCUCCCGGAACCCAUCCAUGGCAAACGAAACUAUACACAUGUACAUGGACGCCGUUCGCUCCUGCCUCGGGCCUAGAGAUGUAGCUGUGUGUGGCAAUGCACAGUACACAGUUGUCUAUGCAUCACAGUUGGCACGGGCAUCAUGUCUGUGGUGCCCAGCAACUGCCGCCAUUAAAAGGGCCACGACGCAAACUGCAGCAGGAUGGGGCGAUGUACCUGGUGAUGUUCCGCCUUGCCGAGGUCGUCCUCUCAUAGUUCCCGGGCCUGGAGAUCGGCCACCUUUGUCUCCAUCAUCGCCGUUAUCAUGUCCUUCACCUACUCCUUCAUCGCGUUCUUCCUGAGUGUGCGGCCUGCGCGCAAGGAUAGGCCAGUGGCGGUGUACAGCCACUUGCAUCGGUCGGCGGCCAAACGAAGGAGCGGUGGGUGGUGACCUGUGCAUAAGGAGAGGCCGGCCAGCGGCGGCGGGGGCGGAGGCCAACACAGAUCAAUGGUGACAAGGGAAAAAGAGGCAAGGCAAGCGUCGGCGGUGGCAGAGGAGGAGGGUCAGGCGGCGACCCUCGAGGGAGUAGGAGCAUCCGGCGGGCAGAGGCAGGUGGCAUGCGUCGCGGGGUAGUUGUUUUGAGGCGAUCUGAUUGCGAUCAGUUUUCUGUUUUCAUGGCUUGCAUGAUCGCUUGCAGAGGUGGGACGGCAGAGUUUUCUUCCGCCGAGGAAAAUUGCUAAGCGCAGUUUUGCCUGAGGGUUAGUCUAAUCUUAAUGGUUAGAUCUAAUUAAGUAAUCUGAUCGUGAGGUUGUAAUUGGUCCAUGAUAUUUUGUGUAGCUUAGGCUAGGUGCACUUAGCAAUGAAUAUGUUUGCUUGUUUAA